rnacentral:rRNA from 1 species
CACGUAGGGGGCGAGCGUUGUCCGGAUUUAUUGGGCGUAAAGAGCUCGUAGGCGGCUCGGUAAGUCGGGUGUGAAAACUCGGGGCUCAACCCCGAGACGCCACUCGAUACCGCUGUGGCUUGAGUCCGGUAGGGGAGCGUGGAAUUCCUGGUGUAGCGGUGAAAUGCGCAGAUAUCAGGAGGAACACCGGUGGCGAAGGCGGCGCUCUGGGCCGGUACUGACGCUGAGGAGCGAAAGCGUGGGGAGCAAACAGG